ACGGCCACAUUGGGACUGAGAUACGGCCCAGACUCUUACGGGAGGCAGCAGUGGGGAAUAUUGGGCAAUGGGCGCAAGCCUGACCCAGCAACGCCGCGUGAAGGAAGAAGGCUUUCGGGUUGUAAACUUCUUUUGUCAGGGACGAGUAGAAGACGGUACCUGACGAAUAAGCCACGGCUAACUACGUGCCAGCAGCCGCGGUAAUACGUAGGUGGCAAGCGUUGUCCGGAUUUACUGGGUGUAAAGGGCGUGUAGCCGGGAGGGCAAGUCAGAUGUGAAAUCCACGGGCUCAACUCGUGAACUGCAUUUGAAACUACUCUUCUUGAGUAUCGGAGAGGCAAUCGGAAUUCCUAGUGUAGCGGUGAAAUGCGUAGAUAUUAGGAGGAACACCAGUGGCGAAGGCGGAUUGCUGGACGACAACUGACGGUGAGGCGCGAAAGCGUGGGGAGCAAACAAGAUUAGAUACCCUGGUAGUCCACGCUGUAAACGAUGAAUACUAGGUGUGCGGGGACUGACCCCCUGCGUGCCGCAGCUAACGCAAUAAGUAUUCCACCUGGGGAGUACGAUCGCAAGGUUGAAACUCAAAGGAAUUGACGGGGGCCCGCACAAGCGGUGGAUUAUGUGGUUUAAUUCGAAGCAACGCGAAGAACCUUACCAGGGCUUGACAUCCUACUAACGAAGUAGAGAUACAUCAGGUGCCCUUCGGGGAAAGUAGAGACAGGUGGUGCAUGGUUGUCGUCAGCUCGUGUCGUGAGAUGUUGGGUUAAGUCCCGCAACGAGCGCAACCCCUAUUGUUAGUUGCUACGCAAGAGCACUCUAGCGAGACUGCCGUUGACAAAACGGAGGAAGGUGGGGAGGACGUCAAAUCAUCAUGCCCCUUAUGUCUUGGGUUACACACGUAAUACAAUGGCGGUCAACAGAGGGAUGCAAAGCCGUAAGGUGGAGCGAACCCCUAAAAGCCGUCCCAGUUCAGAUUGUGGGCUGCAACCCGCCCACACGAAGUCGGAAUCGCUAGUAAUCGCGGAUCAGCAUGCCGCGGUGAAUAAAAUCCCGGGCCUUGCACUCUCCGCCCGUCAAGGGCGC
rnacentral:rRNA from 1 species